GCCCUCGUAGUUCAAUGGACAGAACGAGAACCUUCUAAGUUUUAAAUCGAGGUCCGAUUCCUCGCGAGGGCA
rnacentral:tRNA from 1 species